AAGACGCUAGUAAAUAUUGAUUAUACUGCCUUGUCAAGGCAGAGUUGUGGGUUAGAACCCCGCGCGUCUUG
rnacentral:tRNA from 1 species